GAUGAACGCUGGCGGCGUGCCUAAUACAUGCAAGUCGAGCGAACAGACGAGGAGCUUGCUCCUCUGACGUUAGCGGCGGACGGGUGAGUAACACGUGGAUAACCUACCUAUAAGACUGGGAUAACUUCGGGAAACCGGAGCUAAUACCGGAGAAUAUAUUGAACCGCAUGGUUCAAUAGUGAAAGACGGUUUUGCUGUCACUUAUAGAUGGAUCCGCGCCGCAUUAGCUAGUUGGUAAGGUAACGGCUUACCAAGGCAACGAUGCGUAGCCGACCUGAGAGGGUGAUCGGCCACACUGGAACUGAGACACGGUCCAGACUCCUACGGGAGGCAGCAGUAGGGAAUCUUCCGCAAUGGGCGAAAGCCUGACGGAGCAACGCCGCGUGAGUGAUGACGGUCUUCGGAUCGUAAAACUCUGUUAUUAGGGAAGAACAAAUGUGUAAGUAACUAUGGACGUCUUGACGGUACCUAAUCAGAAAGCAACGGCUAACUACGUG
rnacentral:rRNA from 1 species